CCCCUGAAAAAAUGAAAAAAAAAACACAACUAACAGAGGCUGCUGUCACAUGGCAUUAAGAGACUUAUUGUGACUGCCGAACCAGUGCCUGAGAUUACUCUACGGUUAGGAAUUCUGUGUACUUUGUUUUAAAACGCUGCUUGGGCACUGCAAGAGACAUCAUCAGUAUGUCAGGCUUUUCCUGAAGAGAAAAAGAUCUGUGUGUGCAACAGGGGUCAGCAUGAGGGUGCGUGGAGAAAGAUGGAGAUUGUGUAGAAGUCCAUAAUUGGAGCUGGAUUAUAUGAAGGAUCUAUGCCACAGAAUGUUUUCCAGGAGUUUUGCUUUUGAAGGAGUCAAAAGGGACCAGCAAAGAAAUGUAACACUAGCCUGUUUUAGAUUGUGUAAAGUAUGUUUACCAAGGCAGGAAGGAAUUUCGUAAAUAUUCCCUCUCCCAGGAUCUAUGGAGUCUGAGACAGACUGAACCAAGCAGGAAAGGGGAAUAAGGAAAGAAAGAAAACAACUUGAGAGAUCAUCUUAUUUUCUUUUUUUUACAGUUGGGCUAAAAGCAUUCAAGACCAAUUAAGAGUACACACUCAAAUUAGAUUAGUCUCCACAGCUAGAUAUUUGGUUUUGUUGUUUGUUUUAAAAGUAGGGUUGGUUUGUUUGUUUACAAAAGUCAACAGGAAUGAAAUAAAUUUAACAAAUUAUUAGGCAAUGAUAUCUAUCUUUUUUUCUUACAGUAUGAAAUGAAAUAUAAACCCCAAGCAGCCAGCCAGGUUUAGCCAUCAAGUGGCAUUACAUUAAAAAAAGUAAACAGAGCAAGUGUUGAAAAAGACAAUUGGUUUUGGUGGGGGUUUUUAGGAAUUAUUUGAGUUUUAAUUAUUUAAGGAACUUGUUAAUUAUAUAUGAUGGAAACAAGUAUGCAGGGUGUCAAGUAUCUUUUGCUUACUACUGAAGUAAAUGGGACAUUCAGACAAUCAGCAGCUCUCAGAAAAUGCUUAGCUCCAUUCAAAUUCAAACCCGAUAUUAAUUUAUUAUCCUGACAGUGAAAAAAUAUUCAAGUUUUACAGCUGCUUGUUGGUUCUUUUUUGGCCUACUGUGACUUUAGUCUGUGCACACUGAAACUUGCUUGAAUCUUGGAAGUUAUUUCCCUGCAGGUUAGAAUGAUGUGUUUCAUUCUAUAACUUUCAUACACAAGGCAUCUGCAAAGCACUUUACAAUGUAAUGAAAAUUAGACCUUGAUCUUAUAUUAGAACCAUGCAGGCAAACCCCUGAGCCCAUGCAGUGCUUCUUUGACUUCAGUGAGCCUUCACAUAUGCACAGAGGACCUACCAAAUGCUUUUCAAUGCAGAAUAAGCCCUUGGCAUCGUGGGUAAAAUUAUGUCACCUCUAGUUCCACAUAAUCAGAGUCAAACAUACAACUCGUACUUUUACUUUUACAUGUACAAAUAAAAUAUUACAGAUUUUAACAGACUUUACAGCUACACAUAUGUCUAUAGAAAGCAUAUCUUGAUCUAACACUAAUUGGAAUUCAUAUUGCUCAUCUGAGUGUGACUGUGAUGAAUUGGAAAAGUGCAUUGUAACCUGACUGUAUAUGUUCCACCUGAAAGGAAAUUUGUUAUGGAACUAAGUAGAGUGUUUGGCAAUAAUGAUGUUCAAGUGAAAAGACAUGAAUUUUGUUUGGCCUAGGUAGCAAGGUUGCUUCAGCUGGUCUUUUUGUGUGUGUAUGUGUUUGUG